ACCGACUAACGAGUAAAAAUGUUGGUUGGUUUUGGUCAGCUAAAGAAAAUGAAAUAUUUACUAAAGUUAAAAAUAUAUUGUCAAAAGAAGAUACAAUAAUUCCUUAUUCAGCCGAUAUCCCUGUCGUGAUUUCUUGUGACGCUUCCGAAGAUGGUCUAGGAGCUGUUAUUGCACACCGAUUUCUUACUUGCAUGGCUGGAUUAUUUUAAUUAGUUUUAAAAUUUUGCUCAGUAGGAUGUUUUAUAAUUCUUAAGAAUUUGAAGUCAACAAAUACAAAUAAGGCUAGGUUUUUUAGAUUCUUCCUUCAAAAGGAUUAACAAUUCAAUCCAAUUCGCAUGUACAAUUAUAUAUUAUUUUAAGCCUUGAUGAAAUGUCUAUACAGUGACUUAUUCAUUGGUAUAAAAAUGAGUUUCAUGGAUGUAUAGAUUUUUAAUAUGGAAUAGAACAUUCUGAAUUUAUAUCUGAACUAACAAAGCUUUAUGUCUUAUGGCAACAUAUUAUUAUUAUAAAAUAAUGCAAUAACUUCAAAAAUAUCCUAUCAAUUAUUAUUACUUAUAUAAUAAUAAUAAAUCUUGUAUAUUUUAAUAAAAAAUAUAUAAUAUCUAAUAAAGUUGUUAAUUUUUGUGAUUAAAA